rnacentral:ncRNA from 1 species
CCUCGCCAACGGCUUCCUGACGGCGGGACAUAUCACAUCGGAGCA